rnacentral:rRNA from 1 species
UACAUAGGGGACAAGCGUUAUCCGGAUUGACUGGGCGUAAAGGGCGCGUAGGUGGCCUUAUAAGUCAGGUGUGAAAGGUAUCGGCUCAACCGAUAAAUUGCACUUGAAACUGUGAGGCUUGAGUAUUGGAGAGGCAAGUGGAAUUCCUAGUGUAGCGGUGAAAUGCGUAGAUAUUAGGAGGAACACCGGUGGCGAAGGCGGCUUGCUGGACAAAUACUGACACUGAGGCGCGAAAGCGUGGGUAGCGAACAGG